rnacentral:rRNA from 1 species
GCAUGGAGCCGACCUUGAAAUACCACCCUUUAAUGUUUGAUGUUCUAACGUGGACCCGUUACCCGGGUUGCGGACAGUGUCUGGUGGGUAGUUUGACUGGGGCGGUCUCCUCCUAAAGAGUAACGGAGGAGCACGAAGGUUGGCUAAUCCUGGUCGGACAUCAGGAGGUUAGUGCAAUGGCAUAAGCCAGCUUGACUGCGAGCGUGACGGCGCGAGCAGGUGCGAAAGCAGGUCAUAGUGAUCCGGUGGUUCUGAAUGGAAGGGCCAUCGCUCAACGGAUAAAAGGUACUCCGGGGAUAACAGGCUGAUACCGCCCAAGAGUUCAUAUCGACGGCGGUGUUUGGCACCUCGAUGUCGGCUCAUCACAUCCUGGGGCUGAAGUAGGUCCCAAGGGUAUGGCUGUUCGCCAUUUAAAGUGGUACGCGAGCUGGGUUUAGAACGUCGUGAGACAGUUCGGUCCCUAUCUGCCGUGGGCGCUGGAGAACUGAGGGGGGCUGCUCCUAGUACGAGAGGACCGGAGUGGACGCAUCACUGGUGUUCGGGUUGUCAUGCCAAUGGCACUGCCCGGUAGCUAAAUGCGGAAGAGAUAAGUGCUGAAAGCAUCUAAGCACGAAACUUGCCCCGAGAUGAGUUCUCCCUGAGACUUAGAGUCUCCUGAAGGAACGUUGAAGACGACGACGUUGAUAGGCCGGGUGUGUAAGCGCAGCGAUGCGUUGAGCUAACCGGUACUAAUGAACCGUGAGGCUUAACCUUACAACGCCGAAG